AUGAUGAUACUCCUCAGCAAACACUGCAAGGUGGCCGGCCUUCUUCUGUUUCCGAGAAGAAAACCGCCGCCACUCGAUCACCUGUCGCGCUACUGUGCAUAUCUGGUGGCAUCCUGCCCCGAGCUACUUCCUGAUGAUGAUACAUGGAGCAAGCACCUGUACAAGAAAGUCAAGAAGGACGCCGAUCGAGCCCUUGCCACCGGCGGUGGCAUUGCGGUGUCAUCCCUGUCGCCGGAAGCUGGGUACCUAAGGUUGAUACAGUUGUUGGGCUCUACACAGAAUCAUGAUGUGCUCAAAGAUGCCGCCAAGCUCGCCGAGCAGCUUGGGGACCUGACCGGAGGCGAGGAGAUGGCGUGCGAGUUACUGGCCGGGUUUUGGUCGGAGAUGAUCCUUUACCUGGCUCCGUCCGACAACAUCAAAGGGCACCUGCAGGCCAUCGACCGGGGCCACGGUGCUGGUAUCAGCCAGAGAUUGGUUUAG
rnacentral:rRNA from 1 species